CCCUGGGUGACGAGCGGCGGACGGGUGAGUAAUGUCUGGGAAACUGCCUGAUGGAGGGGGAUAACUACUGGAAACGGUAGCUAAUACCGCAUAACGUCGCAAGACCAAAGAGGGGGACCUUCGGGCCUCUUGCCAUCAGAUGUGCCCAGAUGGGAUUAGCUAGUAGGUGGGGUAAUGGCUCACCUAGGCGACGAUCCCUAGCUGGUCUGAGAGGAUGACCAGCCACACUGGAACUGAGACACGGUCCAGACUCCUACGGGAGGCAGCAGUGGGGAAUAUUGCACAAUGGGCGCAAAGCCUGAUGCAGCCCAUGCCGCG
rnacentral:rRNA from 1 species